UGGGGAAUUGUUCGCAAUGGGCGCAAGCCUGACGACGCAACGCCGCGUGGAGGAUGAAGACCUUCGGGUCGUAAACUCCUUUCGACCAAGAUGAACAUCCAUCGAUUUAAUACAUCGACGGACUGACAGUAUUGGGAGAAGAAGCCCCGGCUAACUCCGUGCCAGCAGCCGCGGUAAUACGGGGGGGGCAAGCGUUGUUCGGAAUUACUGGGCGUAAAGGGUUCGUAGGUGGCCAACUAAGUCAGACGUGAAAUCCCUCAGCUUAACUGGGGAACUGCGUCUGAUACUGGUUGGCUUGAGUGCAGGAGAGGAAUGCGGAAUUCCAGGUGUAGCGGUGAAAUGCGUAGAUAUCUGGAGGAACACCGGUGGCGAAGGCGGCAUUCUGGACUGCAACUGACACUGAUGAACGAAAGCCAGGGGAGCAAACGG
rnacentral:rRNA from 1 species